UUUACCACUUGUUGGGGCACUUUAAUGUCUUUAAUAAGCAUGUAUGACUGAUGGAUUACUGUACAUUGUUGAAUUUCCUUCUUUCUCUGUGUGAACUUCAAAAUGAUGGUUCAACAGUUCCAGGACUGCAUAUCUGGUCAUGUACAGAGCCUCAGACAGAGAGCCAGAGGAGGUGAAAGAACAACAGAGGACCAGGAGAAGAGUGGAAAAGGAUGAACCAAAGAAAAGAAGAAUGCAUGAAUACAUAAAGAAAUCUGGAGAAAAGAACAUCCACGAGGAUGCUCUGCAACCUGGCAAGAGUUCAGAGAUAAAGAGGAAUACUUUUUUGAUUACUUUCAUCACUGGUUUUUUGGCCUUAAUUGUAAUACUUGCAAUGAUACUCACAGCUCUAAGCAGAAACUGAUGGAGGGGGAGAAAGUCAGCAGAAUUUGUGGUUUUUGAAAAUUUCAGCUUGUAACAGAACCAGUUUUGUCAAGGGAGCAAUGAAAAUGAUAUAAUUGCAUUUCACAGACAACUAUGGUCGAUGUUAUGAAAGCAACUUUGUAGAAGCCAUUUAAAUAAUUGUAAAAUCAGUUGUUUGAAGUGUGGAGCUCAUAAAAGGUGCUGUGGUGAUGAUGAUGAUGAUGAUGAUGUGGAUGAAUUUUAAUCACCAUGGAAGAAAUUCAGGCAUCAAAACUGUAUUUUUCACAUUGUCACUGUAAAUUCUAACGCACAAAAGCAGCCAUGACAUGCAAUGCUAAGAUUUCAUUAACGAUCAAAUAAUAACUUUUGUAUUCAUAAAGUUUUCCCCAAAAUUAUAAAAAAUAAUUUUCCAAAUAAAUAAAGGGUCUCACUCCAUAGCGAGUGAUAGUGA